GAUGAACGCUAGCGGCAGGCUUAAUACAUGCAAGUCGAGGGGUAGCAAGAUUGUAGCAAUACAAUUGUUGACGACCGGCAAACGGGUGCGGAACACGUACACAACCUUCCUACAAGUGGGGAAUAGCCCAGAGAAAUUUGGAUUAAUACCCCGUAACAUAGCGAUGUGGCAUCACAUUGCUAUUAUAGCUUCGGCGCUUGUUGAUGGGUGUGCGGCUGAUUAGAUAGUUGGCGGGGUAACGGCCCACCAAGUCUACGAUCAGUAGCUGAUGUGAGAGCAUGAUCAGCCACACGGGCACUGAGACACGGGUCCGACUCCUACGGGAGGCAGCAGUAAGGAAUAUUGGACAAUGGACGCAAGUCUGAUCCAGCCAUGCCGCGUGAAGGAUUAAGGUCUUCUGGAUUGUAAACUUCUUUUAUAAGGGACGAAAAAAGGUCUUUCUAGAUCGUCUGACGGUACCUUAUGAAUAAGCACCGGCUAACUCCGUGCCAGCAGCCGCCGUAAGAC
rnacentral:rRNA from 1 species